UUUUUUUUUUUUUUUUUUUUUCUGCUAAUUGCUGAUGUGAACUUCCAGUUCAGUAAUUACAGUAUUAAGUAGCUACAUCACAGGAAAUAAGAAAAAACCCUAUUUUUCUGCCAAUAAAGUUGCUACAUGCAAACGGUGGUGUUAUGCUAAGCUGAUGCCAUGUGUUGCUAAUAGGCUGAACCUUCCUAUGCUUUUUGCCUUCACAAAAAGUCAUUUCUUUACUCAUUGGCCAGUGAAGUGCUAGCAGGCUUUGAGCUGAGAGGACCAACUCCUUAAGUGUAGCUAAGCUAUGUUUGCUCCAUCUUCUUUUUGUCCUCAGUUGGGAGAGUGUUGCAACCCCAGCUGUUCUCCCAGUGAAAGAUUUGUUAAGGAUUUGAAUAGGUAUGGUUUCAAUCUCUAUUUUUUAGAGACGGAAUUACAAUUCUGAACCUUUGAGAGUACUUAAAAGUUGUAUUUCAGCUAUCUUCAAAAGAUGGUAACUAAUGGCUGAAUGGUUUUAGAGGAAGCAUAUAAAAUGCAGAGGUACCAGGUUCAAGCCCUUUGCUGGAUUUCAAAUAUGCUCUGCAGGAAGUUCCUAAUUGAGAUGAAAAGAGUGGAUUCCACACAUGCCUAACUGGAUUUUCCUGAAAUUAACAUGCUUUGUAUCCAACACAUCUGUGUUCCAGGUUAGAGACCUGCUGAUACAUUCUUCAGCCACUAAAAUGCUGAUUAAUUCACCCCUUCUUCACCUUACAAAUAGGAAGAAGAGUGAAUGGGUUGACCAUUUAAAGAAUACAAAUUGUGUAGGAAGAGUGCAAGGAAACAUCUUUUGUUUUUAUGUCCUAUGCCCUUAUUACACACCACUUACAACUCAAUUUCCUGUUUUCAAAUAUGAUUUUUGCAGGACUUGCUAGUGUUUAAAGCAACAGGAUUACACUUAGAAUAAAGCAGAGACUCUAAAGCUAGCAGGUUAUUGCUGAAAAUAGCUCCCAGAGAAGACUGACAUGAACCCUGUUCUGAAUGAGCACAGCUCCAGUAAAAUGUUUCCAGUGGAGAAAAGGCCUUGUUUCACAGGAAGUACAGAACUACAACUAUGAAGGCUGUAGUGUGGACUUUCCUUUUCCUAAAUCUGGGAAAUCUGUCUCUGAAUAUGGCAUCUACUUCCUGCUGAGGCACCUCAGUAACUAUCAGCUAUCUGAUUGUUAAGCUUUGAAGCUCAAUAGCGUUCUUGCUAACACACUGUGGUUCUUGUACUAAAUGGGGCUUUUAUAGCCGAUUUCUGGAUGAGUGAGCUGCCUUCAGUAAUGUUCGAACUAUUAUUUUUAUUUUGUUUUUUUUUUUCCUUUGCCGUGCUUGAAAACAAUGGAAUUGUUUUGAAAGCAAUUGUCUUGAAAGCAAUGCUGCUUGAAGGAAGGACAAAUCUACAUGGAAUCCAUCUCUUUUACAACUGAGAAAUGAAGGAUAUUUUUAAGCCAUUUAAAACGACAUUUCAUGGAUCAUUUAGGUUGGAAAAAGACUUUGAAGGUCAUAAAGUCCAACAAUUAACUCAGCACUGCCAAGUCCCAGUCUAAAUCAUCUCACUCUGCACCACAAGGCUUUUUAAAACCUCUAGGGAUGAUAACUCCACUGCUUCCCUGGGCAGUCUGUUCCACUGCUUCACAACCCCUUUGGGGGAAAAAUUCUCAAAAGUUUCAAAGUUUCAAAAUAAUGCAGAUGGAGUUUUAGAAAAAGAAGAUGCUGCUACUCCCUGUAGGCUAGCCUAUGCUUUUCUUCUCCUACCAUAAAUCUCAGUGGCUUUUCUUCGGUACAUAACUACUACUUUGGGGAGAAAAAGUGGAUAUUGGCAAUAAUGCCUAGAUGAACAGUACUUAAUAAAAUGACCCAGAGAUGAUGCCAACUUAACUUACAACACAUUUGAAUUGCAUAGUUAAUAUCCUUCUGCACCAUGUAUUAAUCCUGUAAAGCUAUUUAAGUGUUUGGUUCCUGCUUCUAUUCUUUCCUGAUGACAGAUCUACUUUUUCAUCUUAUCUCCCUUCUAUAUUUGAAGUCCUUCAUGCUGCUUUUCUCAGAAAAAUAACCUGUCAGUCCCCGCUGUGGAGCUCCCACACCACUUCAGAAACACUGUGGCAGCAAGUCUGAUUCAGAUUUUUGCUCUGCCUCAAAGCAGAGCCAGGCAAACACAAAAACGUUCUGCAGUCUUCAAAAGCAGCUAUUUUAAGGUUGUCCUUCCUUUUUUUCCCUUUUUAAAGAAUAACACAUAACUUGCCUCAGGGAAAAGGGCAAUAUAUAACCUGUUAAAAAAAAAAUCCAUCUUUUCUCAGAAAAUCAACUCAUUGAUGCACUAUAAACUAGAAUAGAAAGUGUUCUAAUCAGAGCAAUCUUCAAAAGGAGUACUUGGAAUUUAAUGGUGUUUGAAAAUGGAAUUUUUGUGAGUUUUCUUAGUGCUUGGCCUCAAGCCUCCUCUCAAAACUCAAUAUAAAUGCAUUACCUGCAGCUGCUUUAACUGCAGAGAGACACAGCUAUAUAUGUUUGUUUGCCUAAACAUGUCUUGUAUUCUGGAAGAACUUACUAGAUCAAGUUAUUUAUCCCAGUUUUCAAAGGUAAAUACUUGCAAAAUGCUCUUCUAGAUAACAAUUUUUGUUGUGUAUCUUAAAAAAAAAAAAGGCAAAACCUCACAACCUAUAAUGUAAAAUCAUUAAAUGCCUACUCAUAGAGAAGAGAAAGAGAAUGGUAAAACUGUGAACCUCUCUACUACAAUCCAGAGCCAUAGAGUCUCUGAGACUGCAAGGUGAAGUGAAUAGGAUAUUUUUUGUAAUGAAAUUAAGUUUUUAUGCACCUGAGCCCUCCACCUUGAAUACUCUGACAUUUUUUGGCCACAUUUUAGCCUUGGAUAUUGACAGGUAGCAAGGACAGCAGAGAAGGACCUUCUACCAAAUGUUCCUCAAUGAGAGCAAGAGAAGCCUGUGCUUUCUUAUUUCUGGAUGAGAGUUAUAUAGUUAGCUAUUUGAAAUGCUACUUUUAAUUCAGAGAUAUCACUGGAUUUCUGUUCAAGAGUCAGGGCAGCACUUGAUACAUAACCCCCUCAUUCCUUGCAGAAGUGGACUGGCACAGCUAGUGCUGGUAUAUUUUUCUUUGUACUUUCCAGAAAAGGUUAAAUAUGGAAUAGAGGGGCAGACUUCAAAAUGUAUUAUGUGCUAUCAAAUAAAGUCUUCAUUCACAAUAACCUAUUUAAUUUGUUACAUGAACAAUUUUGACAUGUAUUUCAUAGAACUGGAAAUGGAACAUACUGCUGCUGUCUCUGCCCCAAGUGCCAUGAUGAAAUCUGAUCAUUUUCUCACAUCAUGUUUUCCUCUCUUGAAGCAAUCUAGGUCACUGAGUCACCUAGCCAGCUGUACACAUGAUUUCUUAAAAGCUUCAAACAUGACAAUUCAAAUUAUUAUACUCUAGCUGCUUUGCUGUAAACAGAUGAAGUCCAGCUAAGCAUUAGGCAAUGAUUUAAAGAUACUACAUUUAAUUCUUUUAAUCCAUCCAUUAUGCCUCCUGGAAAUGCAUGAUGAAACAGGAUGGCACAAGAAGAGGAAAAAUAUACACAUCAGGAGUAUAUAGUUAUAGAACUCUUGAAAGAUCUCACUGAAAUCCUCAGAGAGUCAGUAACAACUCCAGAAGAGAACUUCAAACUUACAUCUUAGUUCUCUAAAAGGUCACCCUAACAGCAGCCACUGAAGCCCAGAGAGUCUGUUACUGUGCAGAGGGACCACUUCAUGGUAAAUGCCUAAAAACUGAAGACCAUGCUUCAGUGUACAACUGCAGAAAUACUUGUAAGAAAAUGUUAAAAACCAUCUGAUAGCUUACAGUAAUGGUAAAUAAUACCGUCCCUUCUCAGUAAAAUGGGACUCAGAGAAAGAAUUUAAUUCCAACCAUGUAAGAUACCAGCAUUUGCUGAGAACUGACUGUAAGAACUAUAAAAAGUUUUUGAAUGAACUGCAUGAACAUUAGGGCAACCCUCUGUUGCUGACUUUAGCAUCAUACAUGUGAGAGAGUUUACAGUAACUAGAAAUGCUUCCCCUAGGAUUCCUGUCCUAGGAACCUCCAUCCGGGACCUGGCCUCUCUGGGAACACAAGGCUUGCAAUAGUAGAAAAAACAUCUCUCACUUCAGGUCACACACUUUAAUACAGUGUUACACAUAUAGCAAAUUUUAAAGGAAAUAAAUUAGUUGAAAUGA
rnacentral:lncRNA from 1 species